UGAUAACUAGAAUAUGCGAAGAUUGCGGUUGCAGCUUGCAUGCAUUGGAGGCUCCAUUUGACUCAUUUGGAGGGAAGUGCUUGUCGUGACGAAUUUGCUGAGCUAUCUGCAUAGAUCCCAUGUACAAAUACUGGCAUGCCGCUGAUGGAGCUCCAAGUCUAUUACAUUUUAGAUACAAAAUUUUGCUGAAAAGCAAAACAAAAAUGAUGUGUAUAUCUUUACUUAUUCGUAAGCCAUUCUUGGAUUGCAGAACGGAGGGCAUGGUUCGGCAAAAGAUCACGGUGGAGUAGCUCAAGGUUUGUCAUGGGUGAUGUAUGGUGGCCACUGUCAAUCCACUCCCUUAUAGCUUCGGCUUCGUAGGUAAAGCCAUCUGCAGCAAUUAGAGGCUCCCUCAUGACAUCCUGCACCGAAGAAAUGCGAAGAAAGAAAUGGAGGCCCGGUUGAUCUUGUUGCACAAAGGGAUCAUAUAUUUUUGACGGCAGAGAUAGUAGUUGUGGUUCCAGUAAAAAGGGGGAAAAGAAAAGAUAUUGCAGGGGAGACGCACGUACUGAUGGGGAUGAGCUUGGGUUGGGGGUAGACAUGGAGCAGCACCAAGGAGACGGCGCCGGAUUCUUUGGGGAACUUGUGCAGUGCCCACAGCACCAUGGACUUGGAGUCGGACCCAGCCCCCACCGCCACGCACACCUUCUUCAUCCUCUCGCCGGAGUCGGAGGAUGACUGCUCGGAGCAAGGAAUUGCCCAACAGUGCCACUGCAAUUUCCAUGGCAUGGCAUGGCAUCGACAUGGCAGGAGCUACCUGCCCAACAGUGCUUGCCUUUCUCAUGGACGAGUGACUGUCUGAUACAAGACCUCUCUGCUCCGUGAAGCUGCUAAUUAAACUCCUCUCUGCUUCCCUCCUCUUGUACUCAGGUGGCCAUUCCCCUGCAGAAGUGUCAAUUAUAUCUUGCAACAUGUCAUUGCUCAAGGCUGCCUCCACCUCAUUUGGAAGGCCUAGGGGGCUCUUGCCAGUCAGCA